AGAGUUUGAUCAUGGCUCAGGAUGAACGCUAGCUACAGGCUUAACACAUGCAAGUCGAGGGGCAGCAUGAACUUAGCUUGCUAAGUUCGAUGGCGACCGGCGCACGGGUGAGUAACGCGUAUCCAACCUUCCGCAUACUCGGGAAUAGCCUUUCGAAAGAAAGAUUAAUGCCCGAUGGUAUCCUAAAUGCACAUGCGAGUAGGAUUAAAGAUUCAUCGGUAUGCGAUGGGGAUGCGUUCCAUUAGAUAGUUGGCGGGGUAACGGCCCACCAAGUCGACGAUGGAUAGGGGUUCUGAGAGGAAGGUCCCCCACAUUGGAACUGAGACACGGUCCAAACUCCUACGGGAGGCAGCAGUGAGGAAUAUUGGUCAAUGGGCGAGAGCCUGAACCAGCCAAGUAGCGUGAAGGAUGAAGGUCCUACGGAUUGUAAACUUCUUUUAUACGGGGAUAAAGUGACUUACGUGUAGGUCAUUGCAGGUACCGUAUGAAUAAGCAUCGGCUAACUCCGUGCCAGCAGCCGCGGUAAUACGGAGGAUGCGAGCGUUAUCCGGAUUUAUUGGGUUUAAAGGGAGCGUAGACGGGUCGUUAAGUCAGCUGUGAAAGUUUGGGGCUCAACCUUAAAAUUGCAGUUGAUACUGGCGUCCUUGAGUACGGUUGAGGCAGGCGGAAUUCGUGGUGUAGCGGUGAAAUGCAUAGAUAUCACGAAGAACCCCGAUUGCGAAGGCAGCCUGCUAAGCCGCCACUGACGUUGAUGCUCGAAAGUGUGGGUAUCAAACAGGAUUAGAUACCCUGGUAGUCCACACGGUAAACGAUGGAUACUCGCUGUUGGCGAUACACUGUCAGCGGCUUAGCGAAAGCGUUAAGUAUCCCACCUGGGGAGUACGCCGGCAACGGUGAAACUCAAAGGAAUUGACGGGGGCCCGCACAAGCGGAGGAACAUGUGGUUUAAUUCGAUGAUACGCGAGGAACCUUACCCGGGCUUGAAUUGCGGACGAAUUACGAGGAAACUUGUAAGCCGCAAGGCGUCUGUGAAGGUGCUGUAUGGUUGUCGUCAGCUCGUGUCGUGAGAUGUUGGGUUAAGUCCCGCAACGAGCGCAACCCUUAUCUUCAGUAGCCAGCAAUUCGGAUGGGCACUCUGGAGAGACUGCCAGGGAUAACCUGGAGGAAGGUGGGGAUGACGUCAAAUCAUCAUGCCCCUUAUGAGCAGGGCUACACACGUGCUACAAUGGCGUAAACAAAGGGAAGCGAGCCUGCGAGGGUAAGCAAAUCUCAAAAAUAACGUCUCAGUUCGGAUUGUAGUCUGCAACUCGACUACAUGAAGCUGGAAUCGCUAGUAAUCGCGAAUCAGCAUGUCGCGGUGAAUACGUUCCCGGGUCUUGUACACACCGCCCGUCACACCAUGGGAGUUGGUAACGCCCGAAGUCAGUGACCCAACCGUAAGGAGGGAGCUGCCGAAGGUGGGACCGAUAACUGGGGUGAAGUCGUAACAAGGUA
rnacentral:rRNA from 1 species